rnacentral:lncRNA from 1 species
UGACUGCUGGGGCCCAUUGUGAAGCAAGUAUGGUAACAUAUUGAGUUUUAGUUCUUAUAUGAUUUUAUUAGUAUCUUACAACAGCUAGUAAUACGAUUGUAUUAUCAUUAGAUGCAUCAAUCUGUUAAGCAUGAAACGCGCUGUUGCUUUUGUGUAAGUCUGAUGUGUUAAUUAGGGUUAUUCCUAGUUUACACCAAUAAGACAGUUGCAGUUGUCCACUUUACGUUGUAAGAUGUUUGAGAUUUCUAUUUUAACCAAAUGAUUUAGCAGUUGGUAAUUGAAAUGGUUGCUUUUUGGAGGUCGGAGGUGAUGAUGUUAUGUACCUAGGGUAGGGUCAUGGACCUAUCUAGGAUACCAUACCCAAGGACAUCCUUAGACGAAGCUACCUUCCAGUCGACCAAGAGGGACUCCACUCGACCGGCUAGAAGACACUCGACCAUGAAGACUCACUCGACCACCAGGAGUUUAGAAUCUACUCUGUAUCCAAACGGUCUGUAAUUAAGUAGUCUUAAUGGUCAUGAUGACACUUUAUGUAGGGCGUUACCAGUAACGCCCAGCCUUAAUGUACUUUAACCCUCUGCUAUGUGGGUUGGCUGGGGUCCUGGUGUCCUCUAUAUAAGCCACCCCCUCCACUGGUAGAAGGGUUCGCACCCCUAUAACUCAUAUACACAUAAACCAGUCGACCGCCUCCGGGCUCCGAGACGUAGGGCUAUUACUUCCUCAGAGAAGGGCCUGAACUCGUUAAACACUCGUGUGUACAACUACUCCAUAGUUAGGAUCUUGCCUCUCCAUACCUACCCCCCAUUCUACUGUCAGACUUAGAACCACGACAGUUGGCGCCCACCGUGGGGCAGGUGUCUUAGCGACUUUUUGAAGAAGUUGCAAUUUGUCCGAUUGCCUUCAUCAUGGUUUCCGGCGGAGCUCUGGUCGAGGGCCGCGAGAUCCGUCUUGGUGCGCUCGCUUUCAUCGCCGACAACUCCGCUUGGCUCCAGGAGGCACCACUCGACAUCGACGCGCUCCCCGUCCACGGGGCGACGCACUUUCGGGCGUGUGUCCGCGGCGUCCUGCUACGGCAGCCGUCGACCCCAUACCGGUCGACUCCUGUGUCAUCCUCCCUCCCUGUCUCCCGCCAGCGCAAGCGCUCCGGUCAGUCGAGGCUCCAGCGAUGGGUGAGACACGCAGUGGCUCGCCAAUCGGCCACCACCCAAGUCGCGACAAUUGAGCCCAACGAAUCUCUCUACGGCAUGUUCGACCUGUCAACCAGCUCCGUAGAGACUGCAUCCGAGUGCGAUAGCAGUGAUCCAGCGGCGGAAGUCCUGAUGGUCAACGGGCCUCGUAGCCCUCCUGGUUUCCCGCGCAACGACGGGAUGGACGAUGGGGGCGACCCAGCUCAGGCCCACGAAAAGUAUCAGCCCGAGCCGCUCACUUCUCAGCAGAGGGAAGAACUUCGCCGCCGGAACAUGGAUGCCCUGCAUACUCCCAUUGCAGGAGAAACCCCUGAGGCUCGUGCCCUGGAAGAGGCGCGUUUGGCCAACUUGGCUGAACGCACUCGACUGGAGAACCUCCAGCGAGCACUCGACGAGCGUGCGCGUCAAUGAGUACCCGACUCCAGCCGACGUCAGCUCUUUCCGCAACCGACUCAGGUAUAUCGAACCCCGAUUCAGAAUUUGGCAGCUGCAGCCCGUAUAGCGGAGUCAAUUCAGCCCUCUCAGUCGGAGGCUGGAAGAGGCUUGAUGCAGAUCAGAGAUUUGCUUCGGGCGGCAGGAGAUCAAAAUUCAGUUGUGUCACAGUCGCGCAACAGGAUUUACAGUCGAUCCGUCGCCGCAAAUACUGUUCACUCGGCUCACAGUCCAAGAUCGCCUCCGAGGCGCGUGGGACGUGAAGGCCGGCGGGACCACUAUGAUGGUCGAUUUGAUCGUGAUGACAGGCGUUGAGUGCCCACUCCACCCCCGAGAAGUGGGUCUAACGCCCAUCGGCAGCAAGAUGACAGACGCCAGCUCAGUGUUGGGCGGAGAGCUCCAGUCGACCCCAGAGAGCCAGGAUUUGACGCAAGAUCCAUCAUUGUGCAAGGUUUGGUCGACCGGAACAGAGCUCGUAGAUGUGGCCAUGACAGAGAUGUGCCCACAAGCAGCCGAGUCCAUGUUUCAGGUCCAGAAUGCUUUAGCAGAGCCAUCAGAGCCGCAGUGAUACCCCCCAACUUCAGGUUGGCGACUGGAGUGAGUAAGUUCACUGGAGAGUCUAAGCCUGAAACUUGGCUUGAAGACUACCGAGUGGCUGUUCAGAUUGGUGGCGGUAAUGAUGAGGUGGCCAUGAAGCAUUUGCCACUUAUGCUAGAGGGUUCGGCCAGGGCGUGGUUGAAUCAGUUGGCUCCUAGCAGCAUUUACACCUGGGAAGAUCUUUCCCGAGUGUUCGUUAGGACGUUCGAGGGAACUUGCAAGCGACCGGCCGGACUGACAGAGCUGCAAGUUUGCGUACAAAAGUCGAGUGAAACUCUGAGAGAUUACAUCCAGAGAUGGAUCACUUUGCAUCAUACUGUAGAGAAUGUGUCAGACCAUCAAGCGGUCUGCGCCUUCAAGGAUGGUGUCAAGAACAGAGAGUUGAGCCUGAAGUUUGGUCGAACUGGAGAUAUGACCCUGAGUCAGAUGAUGGAAAUAGCCACCAAGUACGCCAAUGGCGAAGAAGAGGACCGACUCCGGAGUGGCAAGUACAAGCCGAGUCAGUCGGAGAAAGGAAACUCCAGUCAGAAGCAGAAGCGGAAGGCCGAGCCAGCUGCUCCUGGAGAGGCUCUGGCCGUGACUCAGGGCAAAUUCAAAGGGAAGCCCAAAGGAUCUUGGAACCCCAAGAAGGUAAAAGAUAAGGAAGGUAAUGAAGUGAUGGAUCUACCGUGUCAUAUCCACACGAAGAAAGACGAAGAGGGUAACUUCAUCUACCCAAAGCAUACCACUCGCCAGUGUCGGCUCUUAAUCCAGCAGUUUCAAGGGAAACAGCCAAAGGACAAAGAGAAGGAGUCGGACAAGGCUGAGGACAAGGAGGAUAGUGAUGGAGGGUACCCUCAUGUCAACUCCACUCUGAUGAUUUUUGCUGAUGUAGAGAGCAAAAGUCGACUGAAAGUGAUCAAUCGUGAGGUCAAUAUGGUCGCCCCGGCGACACCAAGCUAUCUGAGAUGGUCGCAAACUCCCAUCACUUUCGACCAGUCUGAUCACCCCACUCACAUUGCCACCCCUGGGAGGCAAGCGCUGGUGGUCGACCCAGUCGUCGAAGGCACUCGACUGACGAAGGUACUGAUGGAUGGCGGCAGUGGAUUGAAUAUACUGUAUGCAGAGACGCUCAAGGGAAUGGGCAUUCCGAUGUCCAGGCUCAGUUCCAGCAACAUGAGUUUUCACGGAGUCAUCCCUGGAAAGAAGGCUGAGUCACUCGGCCAAAUAGCUCUGGAUGUAGUGUUCGGCGAUUCGAAGCAUUUCCGCAAAGAGAAGCUGACAUUUGAAGUCGUGGAUUUCCGAAGCGCCUACCAUGCUAUUUUGGGAAGACCAGCCUAUGCCCGCUUCAUGGCUCGACCAUGUUAUGUGUACCUCAAAUUAAAGAUGCCUGGCCCCAAAGGCGUGAUCACUAUCACUAGCAGCCAGAAGAAGGCAGAAGAGUGUUUCCAGAAAGGCUCAAAGAUUGCGGAUGACCAGAUAACAGUGGUAGAGCUGGAGGAAUACAAGAAGAAUGCAGAUCCGAGUGAUUUGCUGCGGGCCAAGAAGCCCGCCACAGAGUCAGCAUUUCAGUCGUCUGGGGAGACGAAGCCAGUUCAUAUCCGCCCGACUGACCCCAAUGCAGCACCGACCCAUAUUUCCACAACACUCGACUCUAAAUAGGAAGAAGCGCUCAUCCAGUUCCUCCGUGAGAACUGGGAUAUCUUUGCAUGGAAGCCAGCUGACAUGCCGGGUGUUCCCAGGGGGCUGGCUGAGCAUCGCCUUAGAGUCGACUCAAAAGCGAAACCUGUUAAAGAACAUCUUCGACGGUCCGCCGUUCAGAAGAAAAAAACCAUUGGCGAGGAGGUGGCUUGACUCCUUGCAGCAGAGUUUAUCCGAGAGAUAUACCACUCCGAGUGGCUCGCCAAUGUCGUCAUGGUUCCCAAGAAGGACAACUCACUUCGCAUGUGCAUUGAUUUCAAACAUAUCAAUCGGGCCUGCCCGAAAGAUCAUUUUCCUCUCCCUCGCAUCGACCAAAUUGUUGACUCGACCGCAGGGUGCGAGAGAUUGUCUUUUUUAGAUGCUUAUCCGGGUAUCAUCAGAUCCGUCUGUAUGGACCUGACGAAAUCAAAACAGCUUUCAUCACUCCAUUCGGGUGCUUCUGCUAUAUCACCAUGCCAUUCGGCCUCAAGAAUGCUGGAGCCACGUUCAUGAGAAUGAUUCAAAAGUGUUUACUCACUCAAAUCAGUCGGAAUGUGGAAGCGUACAUGGAUGAUAUCGUGGUCAAGUCGCGAAAGGGUUCCAACCUAUUGACUGACCUAGCUGAAACAUUUGCCAAUCUCAGAAGGUAUGAUAUCAAGCUCAAUCCAUCGAAGUGCACAUUCGGAGUACCUGGCGGAAAGUUACUCGGUUUUCUCGUUUCAGAACGAGGAAUCGAUGCUAACCCAGAAAAAGUUGGCACCAUACUCCGAAUGAAACGCCCUGUGCGUGUGCACGACGUCCAGAAGCUUACUGGAUGCUUGGCUGCUUUAAGUCGAUUCAUCUCUCGCCUCGGUGAAAAGGCAUUGCCCCUUUACCGACUGAUGAAGAAGGCAAACAAGUUCGAGUGGACUCCAUAAGCUGAUGCAGCGUUUGCCGAGUUAAAAACUCUGCUCUCCACCCAGCCGGUGCUUGCUGCUCCAAUCAGCAAAGAGCCUCUGUUGCUUUAUAUUGCAGCCACAGGACAAGUCGUCAGUACAGUACUUACGGUCGAGCGGGAAGAAGAAGGGAAAGCCUUCAAAGUUCAGCGCCCAGUGUAUUAUCUCUCUGAAGUUUUGACCCCAUCGAAGCAAAGAUAUCCUCAUUAUCAGAAGCUCGUAUAUGGGAUCUACAUGACCAUGAAGAAGGUUGCUCAUUAUUUCUCUGGUCAUGACAUUACAGUCGUCAGCGACGCACCAUUGUCAGAGAUUCUGCACAACAAAGAUGCAACUGGUCGAGUGGCUAAGUGGGCGAUUGAACUCCUUCCCCUUGAUGUCAAAUUCGAGGCAAAGAAAGCCAUUAAGUCCCAGGCUAUAGCAGAUUUCCUUGUCGAGUGGAUUGAGCAACAGCAGCCGACUCAAGUUCACUCGGAGCAUUGGACCAUGUUCUUUGAUGGCUCUAAGAUGUUAAAUGGUUCUGGUGCUGGGGUUGUUUUGGUUUCCCCCCGAGGAGACAAGCUCUGAUAUGUGCUCCAGAUCCACUUUGAUUCCUCCAACAAUGAAGCAGAAUAUGAAGCACUCUUGUAUGGGUUGCGCAUGGCCAUUUCACUCGGCGUCCGUCGCCUUAUGGUCUAUGGCAACUCAGAUUUGGUGGUCAAUCAGGUGAUGAAGGAGUGGGACGUUAGAAGCCCAGCCAUGACUGGAUACUGCAAUGCAGUGAGGAAGCUCGAAAAGAAGUUCGAAGGGUUAGAGCUCCACCACAUACCCCGACUGAAAAAUCAAGCAACUGAUGAUUUGGCGAAGAUAGGAUCCAAGAGAGAAGCCAUCCCCAGUGAUGUGUUCUUGGAACAUAUCCACACUCCGUUAGUCGUACAAGAUCCUUUCACCGACGAAGCUCCGCAACCUAAGAGUGUUACGGAUCCGACUGAGGUUGAAGUCCCAGCAGUGGUCGACCUGAUCAUGGAAGUUUUAGUGAUCACUCCCGAUUGGACAAUACCGUAUAUUGCGUAUAUCUUGAGGAAAGAACUCCCGGAGGACAAAGAAGAGGCUCGACAGAUCGUCCGUCGAUCUAAGGCCUUUACCGUGAUAAAGGGACAGUUGUAUAGAGAAAGCGCGACUGGAGUUGGUCAUAAAUGCAUAACACCGGAGGAAGGUCGAAUAAUCCUUGAUGACAUCCACUCGGGGACCUGUGGCCAUCACGCGUCCUCUCGGACCAUCGUGGCCAAAGCAUACCGAGCCGGAUUUUAUUGGCCAAGAGCGAAUGAAAUGGCGAAGGAGAUAGUCGACAAGUGCGAGGGAUGUCAAUUUUACUCCAAUAUGUCACACAAGCCCGCGUCAGCUUUGAAGACUAUACCACUCGUCUGGCCCUUUGCAGUAUGGGGUUUGGAUAUGGUCGGUCCUUUGAGAACAGGCAGAAGCGGUUUUACCCAUGUGCUGGUAGCAGUCAACAAGUUCACUAAGUGGAUCGAAGCUAAACCCAUCAAGAACCUCGAUGCCGGUACUGCUGUCAGCUUCAUCAGAGAAUUGAUAUUCAGAUAUGGAGUCCCGCACAGCAUCAUCACUGACAAUGGAUCAAACUUCGACUCCGAAGAGUUCAGAGCCUUCUGCGCGUCUCAAGGCACACGAGUCGACUAUGCUUCAGUCGCUCAUCCUCAGUCGAAUGGACAGGCAGAACGAGCCAACGGUUUGAUUCUCAAAGGAUUGAAACCCCGUUUGAUGCGUGAUCUUAAGCAUGCGGCUGGUGCAUGGGUCGACGAACUUCCCUUGGUGCUUUGGGGGUUAAGGACCACGCCCAACCGGUCGACUGGAAGAACUCCAUUCUUCUUGGUCUAUGGAGCUGAAGCAGUCUUGCCGAGUGACCUUCUCCAUAAUGCUCCCCGGGUCGAGCUCUACACCGAAGCUGAAGCAGAACAAGCGCGGCAAGAUGCAGUCGACCUUUUAGAGGAAUAAAGGGAGAUGGCUUUGAUCAGAUCGACCAUUUACCAACAAGACUUGCGUUGCUUCCACGCCAAAAACGUGAAGAGUCAAGCCUUCCAGGAAGGAGAUUUGGUUCUCCGAGUGGAUCAGCAGAAACCACACAAGCUUGCUCCUUCUUGGGAAGGUCCCUUCAUCAUCACCAAGGUUCUCCACAAUAGAGCAUACCGUCUUUACAAUGUCGAGCAUCAGAUCGACGAGCCCUGAGCUUGGAACGCGGAGCUUCUCCGCCCCUUUUACACUUAACUAUUCACUCGGAUGAGUUGUAAUAAAAGUACUUCUGUAGUUUAUUUAUCAAAGACAAGAGCUUUAUAAUUUUCCCAGUAAUCGUUAUUUCUUUUGUCCACUCAAAACAAUCCCCCAGUGGGUGGCUGUGACGCCCUCGAUUCAAUCGUACACUAAUCAUACACGCAAAUGUGUACGAUCAAGAUCAAGGACUCACGUGAAGAUAUCACAACACAACUCUAGACACAAAUUAAAAUAAUACAAGCUUUAUAUUACAAGCCAGGGGCCUCGAGGGCUCGAAUACAUAAGCUCGAAAACACAAAAGUCAGCAGAAGCAACAAUAUCUGAGUACAGACAUGAGUUAAACAAGUUUGCCUUAAAAAGGCUAGCCCAAAAGCAACAUUGAUCGAAAAGGCAAGGCCUCCUGCCUAGGAGCCUCCUAACUACUCCUGGUCGUCAGCGGUCUCCACCACGUGGUAGUAGGCGCCCUCGGGGUAGUAGCAGUCGUCAAAGGUCGCAUCUGGCUCCUGGACUCCGUCAUCUGGUUGCGUCAUCCGAGAAGAAUCGAAAAGGGGAAAAAUAGGGAGCAAAGCAACCGUGAGUACUCAUCCAAAGUACUCGCAAGCAAGGAUCUACACUACAGAUGCAACAUUAUCAAAGGAAGGCUGUCUAUGUGGACUGGGCUGCAGAAAUGCCAGAAUAGAGAGAAGGCCUAGUCCUAUCGAAGACUAACAUCUUCUGGAAACCACCAUCUUGCAGCAACAGGAGGGAGUAGAGUAGCAUAAAGUAAGGUAGUAGUAGUGUUAUCAACCUCGGCCAGAGAUCCUUUCUCGACUCCCUGCGAGAAAGCAAUCCCAGAGCCAUACUAUCCAAUUGUCAUCACAAUCCAAUUCUCAUCAACAUCCAAUUCUCAUCACAAGUAUCCAGUUCUAGUUGUAUCGAUCGGGAUACAACUCCAAGUGUCCGUUACCGUAGGACAGGCUAUCGAUAGAUGUCUUCUUCCCUGCAGGGGUGCACCAACUUACCCACCACGCUCGCUUAACUCCGGCCGGACACACUUUCCAGGGUCAUGCCCGGCCUCGGCCAAACAAUACGCCGCAACCCGACCUAGACUUAACAGAGAGGUCAGCACGCCGGACUAAACCUAUGCCCCCAGGGGUCAUGGGCCAUCUCCCCGGAAACUCCUGCACGUUGCGUACGCGGCCGGUGAGCAGACCUAGCUACCUCCUUCAACAAGGCAGGCGCUUACGUAGUCCAACCUGGCGCGCGCCACUCAGUCGCUGACGUCUAUUAAGCUUCGGCUGAUGUAUACGACGCAGAACGCCCAUACUAUGCCCACGUGAUGGUUAGUGCUAUCAGGCCAGAGGCCCCUCGGAUCAAAUAUCCAAAUCGUAGUGGAUUAGGAACUCGCGGUAACAAGCAGAGACUCACGAAAGAUGUGACCUCGUUGCCCCGUCUCGUGGACUUGCGGCAAGGGCUAGGAAUGCCCGGCCACGCCUCGUAAUUAUCUCGCGGGCACCCUCCAGGUCAACCCGACUCCACAUCACUCGCAAUUAAGCUCGCGCGGGUACCCCUCAGGGUCGACCCGUCUUUCCAAGUAACAGUGGUAAAGUCCAAGUAUCCAUGUGUCCAAACAUUAAGGGGAAAAACCCAAGGAAUCACCCCCGGUGAAUUUCACUCAAUGUAAUCAUCAAGGUGAAUGUAAGAGGAAUCACCCCCGAGGUUCACACUUGAGGGGUUGCACGACAGAGUCAUAUCGGAAGUGGUUAAGGCGGAAUCACCCUCGAUGACCACGACCGAAUAGCUACACUACAGGGUUAACAUCAGAAGUGCUGUAGAGGUCUCACCCUCGGCACUCGAUAGUAACCCAGCAGUGUCGAGCAACUAAGGGGAAAGUGAUGUGCGGUGCCGGGGCCUGGUCUUCAAUCCCGUUGAUCGGGUCUUCAAUGAUGAAGCAGGGGCAACAAGGACAAGGUGGGGGUCACUGAUGGAUCACUAAUUAACCUAUACUAAGCAGUUUAGGAUAAGCAGGUAAGGUACAACAGCAGAUACAAAAGCAGGCUAUGCAUCAGAAUAGGUGCAAACAAUAGCAGUAGCAAAAUCUAAUGCAAGCAUGAGAGAAUGGAAUGGGCGAUAUCGGGAUGAUCAAAGGGGGGGCUUGCCUGGUUGCUCUGGCAAGGAGGGGUCGUCGUCGACGUAGUCGAUCACAGGGGCGGCAUCGGUCUCGGGGUCUACCGGAGAGAAGAGGGGGAAGAAACAGUAAAUAUAAAGCAAACAUAGCAUCACAAAGCAUAACGUGGCAAUAUGUUGUGCCGGGAGUGACCUAACGUUUGGCUACACGAUAUAGGUGAAGGGGGAAUUCAACCGGGAAUGUUUUCCCGGUUCCGGACCUGUGUCAGACAGAUGACCGGAGGGGAAAAGUUCCAUGUUCAGAUAGUUAGAGGCAUGUGACAGAUGAACGGACCGCGUAUUCGGAUUCGUUGAAUUUUUCUGAGCAACUUUCAUAUAGAAAACAUUUUCAUCCGAGUUACGGUUUAUUUUCUAUUAAAUUACAAAGAUUAAACCAUUUCUGGAUUUGUUUAUAUUAACAGAAAAAAGAAUUAUGACGUCAGCAGAGUGUCAGCAUGACAUCAGCAGGUCAACAGACUGGCUGACUGGUCAAACUGACCAGUGGGUCCCACCUGUCAUAGACAAUGGACUAACAGAACUUUAAACUAGCUAAAAAGAGGUUAAAUUAACAGCUGGGCCCCUUAUGGCAGUGGCAGAUUAGAUUACUAAUUACUUUUAACUAUAAAAACAUUUUAAUUAGCUUAAUUAAGCGGUGGGGCCCGCACGUUAGUGGCUGGGGCUGCCCAGUCAGCAGUUGAUUGGGUCAACCCGGUCAACUGGGGCCCGUGGGGCCCGCUGGCAGCCACCCUGGGGGUGGCCCCAGGUUGGCCACGUCGGCGGCCGGCGCCGGAGUUGCGCCGGCGAGCUCUCCGCGGCGGCGAGUCCACCGGAGAGGCUCGGAUCUUCCCUACAGAACACCAAAUCACGCGUUUUCACUUGCGUUCGAACGCCGACGCUGUCGCGCGUCGAGUGGUGCCACUGGACCGAUCGGAGAUGGCCGGAACAGGGAGCUGCAAGGUCGCCGGCGGCGGUGGUCUACGGUAGCUCGGCGAAAACGAAGAACUAGCGCGCUCACAAGCGAUCUAAAGCAUUAGGCCGCACCGCUGGAGUGCCCCGAGCACGAUGGUGUGCUCGGACGGCCUUGGCAUCGAUGGAAACGACGACGGCGUCGAGCGGGGCGGAUGCCGGACUUCGGUCAUCGUUGGGAUCGGGGCUGGGGUGCGUUUGCGGGCAAACCAAGCGGCUAGACGAGGCCUACGCGGUGCGGUGAGCGCGCUGGGCACUGGCCCGUGACCAUUUGGUCACCGGAGUCUUGCCGGCAACGAGAUCCGCGACGGAGAGUUCGGGCAUCUCCAAUGCGACCACUACGGUGACGGAAACGCGCGGGGAGAGAGGGAGAAGGACGACGACUGCUCACCGGGCCCUGUAGUUGUGCUCAAAUGGGCUCGGGGAGGCAUGUCGUCACCGGAAUCAUCGCCGGAGUUGAAGAUGGCCGUAGGGGAAGAAGAGGUCGUCGGGCUCGUCUCGGUGGCUUCCGGCUCCAAUGGCUUGGAUAGGACGACGCGGAGGACGACGGCGGAGCGCUACGUCAUCGGGGCGAGGCGAGAGGUUGACAGGGAGCGUGGGAUCGACGGCGCGCAGCAGCGGCUCCCUCGGUGAGGGAGGAGAAGGGUGAGGGGGAGCGAGGAGGAAUCUGGUGGGAGAGUGGCAAGUGGGCGAGUGGGAGGCGAGGAGGCCGAGGCGUCGGGGAGGCGCAAGCCUUAUCCCCUCGCCCGGGCGUCGCCGGCGAGGCGGGUCCGGCGGGGACGGCGCCCCUGUAGCGGCGCGCACCGGGGGAACAGGAAGGGGGCGCGGUGCGGGGAGCUGGGCCGGCUAGUUGAGGUGGGCCGAGGCCCAUGGGGGGGGCACGGUGGCCAGCUGGGCCAGUCGGCCCAGUUGAGGGGGGGGGGGGCUUUUCCUUUUUCUUUGUUUUUUUAAUUCCCAGCAGCAAUUUGCCUUUUCCUUUUAGCCAUUAGGACUUUGCAAAAUUAUGUCAUUGGGCAAGAUAAUUUCAAGGAAUUAUUGUGCACUGCCACAAAAAGGUUGGGAGGCUUUUGGAAUAGUUGCCAAUUUUAUAAAUUAAAAAGGCAUUUAAUUUAUUGCUUAGGCCACUGUUUUAAGUAGUUUAGGCCACUCAAACCUUUUACAAAAAUGUUGGUUCACCACCAAUAUUAACAAAUGACUAUUUGCCACCUGAUGAACAUUUAGUUUUCAUGAAAGAAGAAGCAAAUAUUUGACAUGCAAUUUGAAUUUGGCUUUGAAGCAGAUUUUGGACAAGUGGCCUUUUGGCAUGAUGAUCAUGAUGACAUGACCUUCAUUAGGGGGAGAUUACUGUAGUGUGAUGCUGGGGAUGUUACAAAUCUCCUCCACUACAAGAAAUCUCGUCCCGAGAUUUACGUGGGGAAGUAAAGAGCAACUUCGGGAGAACUGACCCUUAUAGGGUUAAUUAUCAAAUGAACAAUUCAGGGAAUGAGGUAGAAAAAUCUCUCGAGUUGAAACUUAUUAAAACAUCGAGAGCAAAGUAUGAAGGUACAAUAGGAAGUUUCAAACGAAUGGAAAAACGAUUGAUACCUGAACAGAGUGUGAGAAAGGGGUUCAGAGCAUCGGGAAUAGAUCAUCUCUCGAAAGGUGGCUCAUGACAUGAUACGAAGCCAAAUGCAAGAAUAUUUCAGAAUCAGAGAUAUACAGGAGAGUCAGGUUCCGAAGCUAUGGAACUGUGGGUUAUGGGCCCACCAUGUGGGUUAAUAGAAGAAAGGGGGCCGAUAGCAAGGCAUGUCAGAUGAUAGACUGUCAGUUAUGUUGGCAACAACGUUGGUACCAAGGGCGAGGGACGAAGAGAACCAUUUUCCUGCUCGUUGAACGAGGCGGACCAAUAGGCAAAGUUCUCGUCCAUCGGGGGUUACCAGGAUGUCGUUAGCAAUAGUAACAGGGUCACACUGACAGAGUUGUAAACCAAGGUGUUUCCAUAAGCAGGGAAUUAUUUCUGCUUAUAACAUAUAUAGAUCACAAGAAAGGUUGAGCAAACCAAUGGAAAGGAAAAUGUGUUUAUCGAAUCAAACAACCCAAAGGAAAGGAAGAUGUGUUUACUCAUAAGAGUGGGGAUUAUAUCCCUCCCAAGGGGAAGCGGAGCAGGAUAUACAUGAUAUGACAACAAGUUUAAAUAUCAUUUAGAUAAAGGGGGCGAGGGGAUAAUCAUGAUAUUACCCAUACAAUGGUGUUUGGAUAAUAGAUCAAGAAACAUUCGACAGUGUGCUUCCAAUGUUCAUGGUUGAUAUUCGGAAUACCUCAGUCAUGCUUCGAGGUAGCAUUAACCUUGUGUUACAAGUAGGGGCUGGAGUUGAAGAUCACAAGAAAUACUCCAAGAACGAUUGCAGGAAUAGCAAGGAGUCCAAGGUAUAACCAAGACAUGAUCAACAUGUGUUGGAAAGAAGAUAAGGGGGUUGUCAAUGAUAAUUCAAAUCAUUGAAGGUCAAGGAUGGUAUUUCUCACCAUGAAUUCAAUUGUCAUCUCAACAGAAGUCAAAAUGUUGAUGCUGAUCAUGACGCCUUUGUCGAGAGGCUCUAUGAAGAUGCCAUCGAACAGCAACGACAUCAAGCAAAAGGAAUGUUGAAGCAAAGGCUAUUGGAACCACGUAUACGACACAAGCUCGGAUUCAAGCUUGUUGUUCAAGGAGGAAUGAUAAGAUGAGGAAGAUUGACGUAAGCAUAGCUCGUCGUCGGAAGUUGUGCUCCAGAAGAAGGACCGGAUAGCACAGUUAAAAUUAGCUCGAUAAUGAUAUAGCCGAUCAGGCUAGGAAUGAUGUGAUGGAGUAUCAUUCCAAUGAGAAUUCACAAGAGGUAGUGCAAUGACACAAUAUCCUCGAGAUAACAGGGGGCAACACUCGAGGUAGAUCGAAAUAGAGGUUGGACAGAUGAAAAGAUCUAUAGAAGACAAGUAUUUUAACUUGUUCGAGAAAUUGAAUCAAAGGGGAACAAUCAUGGUCAGAACCACAGUUGCAAAGGACCAAACAUAGUUACCAGAUGAACUUAUAAUAGGGGAUUAUUAUUAUCACAAGAAGCUUCCAUGAUAAGUUCCACAUCGGGUCCAUGGGCAUGAACACAAAGUUCAAGGUCAACUCCCACUUCUUCAAUGCAUAACCUUUCAUUUACUUCUCGCGUUCAAUGAAGUUGUAGUGUUGAAAUGUUAUCUGGCAAAACACCAGAAGAGUAAGACUCAUUAAAAACUCUCGGGUUCAAACGGAUUAGGGGAGGCAUAGGUUCAACCCAUAGGGGCAUCUUAGGAACCUAUUCCACAAACUUCAAAAGUAAACAACACAAGCUCGAAGCAGAGCAUGGUUGACAAAAGGAGAGGAUACAAUUUACCAAAGGCUUUAUGUAUCCGAGAAAAGGCUCACAAGGUUAUUGCAUAUGAAGGAUGUUAUCGGAUAACAACCCGGCAAUGGGCCUGCCGGUCCACAAUGGAGCUAAUGUGAGUAUCGGUACUCAAUCAGAGGAAGAAAGAAUGCAAAGGCAUCGGAUUAUAGAACAUCUGAAUAAUUCGAUGCUUAGAUAACAAAGGAAUUAUGAUUUCCUAAACGAAGGAUCAGAAGCAGACGCUCUGAUCAAGGAUGGAUAUGUAGAAUAGACCUAGGGGCACAAUUGAUGACAAAUAGAUUGGUCGAGAACCAGCUCAUGUUCAAAAUGACGUCUAAGCCAAAAAGAUAUAGAAGGAUCACUGAUGAUUGUGUGCCUUCACACACAUGUUGAAUCAAUAGGAUCAAAAUGAAGGUGUCGAAGGAUACUAAUGAAUAUUGCUACACAUAUGGAAAGCAUCUAUAAUGCAAGCAGACAAGUAAUUGCAGAGCAAUAGUUUGAAGAGGAUACUCGAAAGAUCGGGUAGUGUUUCCAAGUAUUUUGAAAAGCAUAUGAACAACUCGGGAUGAGCGGACCCCGGUUAAGUGAAUUAUCCUUAGUGCAAAAGAAGCUGCAAAGCAGAAGGCACAAGGAUUCUCGGAACAACGGAGAGUGCUAGGGGUAUCUUGUAACAACAUGAGCAAUUGGGGAUGAAGGUACAAAUGGCAAGGAGGUUAUUCACGAGGAUUACCGGUGGUCAGGAACUGUACGGCAAUGUGCACAGAGUCUCGAGAAACAUCGAGGAGUAACCGCAGAAUCUUCUGGCGAAGCAAGUGAUCAUCGGUAAGGUCGGGGCUCUCCGGGAGGAAGUGGGUACGAGAAACUAAUGUCAGAGUUAGUAAAUUCGUUUAACCCGAGUAGAAGAGAGUUCAGGAGUCCCAGAGUAUAGACAAGGAGUAAAAGAUCCUAACACCACCCAAUGGCGACGUGGGCCCGUAAGACCCACAGCCAUGUUAGUAAAAGUUUUUCAGUGACUAGACUCAACUUCGGCCAAGGAGUUGGAAAGGGGGCUACCUACAGGCAGUCGGCUCUGAUACCAACUUGUGACGCCCUUGAUUCAAUCGUACACUAAUCAUACACGCAAAUGUGUACGAUCAAGAUCAAGGACUCACGGGAAGAUAUCACAACACAACUCUAGACACAAAUUAAAAUAAUACAAGCUUUAUAUUACAAGCUAGGGGCCUCGAGGGCUCGAAUACAUAAGCUCGAAAACACAAAAGUCAGCGGAAGCAACAAUAUCUGAGUACAGACAUGAGUUAAACAAGUUUGCCUUAAAAAGGCUAGCCCAAAAGCAACAUUGAUCGAAAAGGCAAGGCCUCCUGCCUAGGAGCCUCCUAACUACUCCUGGUCGUCAGCGGUCUCCGCCACGUGGUAGUAGGCGCCCUCGGGGUAGUAGCAGUCGUCAAAGGUGGCAUCUGGCUCCUGGACUCCGUCAUCUGGUUGCGUCAUCCGAGAAGAAUCGAAAAGGGGAAAAAUAGGGAGCAAAGCAACCGUGAGUACUCAUCCAAAGUACUCGCAAGCAAGGAUCUACACUACAGAUGCAACAUUAUCAAAGGAAGGCUGUCUAUGUGGACUGGGCUGCAGAAAUGCCAGAAUAGAGAGAAGGCCUAGUCCUAUCGAAGACUAACAUCUUCUGGAAACCACCAUCUUGCAGCAACAGGAGGGAGUAGAGUAGCAUAAAGUAAGGUAGUAGUAGUGUUAUCAACCUCGGCCAGAGAUCCUUUCUCGACUCCCUGCGAGAAAGCAAUCCCAGAGCCAUACUAUCCAAUUGUCAUCACAAUCCAAUUCUCAUCAACAUCCAAUUCUCAUCACAAGUAUCCAGUUCUAGUUGUAUCGAUCGGGAUACAACUCCAAGUGUCCGUUACCGUAGGACAGGCUAUCGAUAGAUGUUUUCUUCCCUGCAGGGGUGCACCAACUUACCCACCACGCUCGCUUAACUCCGGCCGGACACACUUUCCAGGGUCAUGCCCGGCCUCGGCCAAACAAUACGCCGCAACCCGACCUAGACUUAACAGAGAGGUCAGCACGCCGGACUAAACCUAUGCCCCCAGGGGUCAUGGGCCAUCUCCCCGGAAACUCCUGCACGUUGCGUACGCGGCCGGUGAGCAAACCUAGCUACCUCCUUCAACAAGGCAGGCGCUUACGUAGUCCAACCUGGCGCGCGCCACUCAGUCGCUAACGUCUAUUAAGCUUCGGCUGAUGUAUACGACGCAGAACGCCCAUACUAUGCCCACGUGAUGGUUAGUGCUAUCAGGCCAGAGGCCCCUCGGAUCAAAUAUCCAAAUCGUAGUGGAUUAGGAACUCGCGGUAACAAGCAGAGACUCACGAAAGAUGUGACCUCGUUGCCCCGUCUCGAGGACUUGCGGCAAGGGCUAGGAAUGCCCGGCCACGCCUCGUAAUUAUCUCGCGGGCACCCUCCAGGUCAACCCGACUCCACAUCACUCUCAAUUAAGCUCGCGCGGGUACCCCUCAGGGUCGACCCGUCUUUCCAAGUAACAGUGGUAAAGUCCAAGUAUCCGUGUGUCCAAACAUUAAGGGGAAAAACCCAAGGAAUCACCCCCGGUGAAUUUCACUCAAUGUAAUCAUCAAGGUGAAUGUAAGAGGAAUCACCCCCGAGGUUCACACUUGAGGGGUUGCACGACAGAGUCAUAUCGGAAGUGGUUAAGGCAGAAUCACCCUCGAUGACCACGACCGAAUAGCUACACUACAGGGUUAACAUCAGAAGUGCUGUAGAGGUCUCACCCUCGGCACUCGAUAGUAACCCAGCAGUGUCGAGCAACUAAGGGGAAAGUGAUGUGCGGUGCCGGGGCCUGGUCUUCAAUCCCGUUGAUCGGGUCUUCAAUGAUGAAGCAGGGGCAACAAGGACAAGGUGGGGGGUCACUGAUGGAUCACUAAUCAACCUAUACUAAGCAGUUUAGGAUAAGCAGGUAAGGUACAACAGCAGAUACAAAAGCAGGCUAUGCAUCAGAAUAGGUGCAAACAAUAGCAGUAGCAAAAUCUAAUGCAAGCAUGAGAGAAUGGAAUGGGCGAUAUCGGGAUGAUCAAAGGGGGGGCUUGCCUGGUUGCUCUGGCAAGGAGGGGUCGUCGUCGACGUAGUCGAUCACAGGGGCGGCAUCGGUCUCGGGGUCUACCGGAGAGAAGAGGGGGAAGAAACAGUAAAUAUAAAGCAAACAUAGCAUCACAAAGCAUAACGUGGCAAUAUGUUGUGCCGGGAGUGACCUAACGUAUGGCUACACGAUAUAGGUGAAGGGGGAAUUCAACCGGGAAUGUUUUCCCGGUUCCGGACCUGUGUCAGACAGAUGACCGGAGGGGAAAAGUUCCAUGUUCAGAUAGUUAGAGGCAUGUGACAGAUGAACGGACCGCGUAUUCGGAUUCGUUGAAUUUUUCUGAGCAACUUUCAUAUAGAAAACAUUUUCAUCCGAGUUACGGUUUAUUUUCUAUUAAAUUACAAAGAUUAAACCAUUUCUGGAUUUAUUUAUAUUAACAGAAAAAAGAAUUAUGACGUCAGCAGAGUGUCAGCAUGACAUCAGCAGGUCAACAGACUGGCUGACUGGUCAAACUGACCAGUGGGUCCCACCUGUCAUAGACAAUGGGCUAACAGAACUUUAAACUAGCUAAAAAGAGGUUAAAUUAACAGCUGGGCCCCUUAUGGCAGUGGCAGAUUAGAUUACUAAUUACUUUUAACUAUAAAAACAUUUUAAUUAGCUUAAUUAAGCGGUGGGGCCCGCACGUUAGUGGCUGGGGCUGCCCAGUCAGCAGUUGAUUGGGUCAACCCGGUCAACUGGGGCCCGUGGGGCCCGCUGGCAGCCACCCUGGGGGUGGCCCCAGGUCGGCCAUGUCGGCGGCCGGUGCCGGAGUUGCACCGGCGAGCUCUCCGCGGCGGCGAGUCCGCCGGAGAGGCUCGGAUCAUCGCUACAGAACACCAAAUCACGCGUUUUCACUUGCGUUCGAACGCUGACGCUGUCGCGCGUCGAGUGGUGCCACUGGACCGACCGGAGAUGGCCGGAACAGGGAGCUGCAAGGUCGCCGGCGGCGGUGGUCUACGGUAGCUCGGCGAAAACGAAGAACUAGCGCGCUCACAAGCGAUCUAAAGCGUUAGGCCGCACCGCUGGAGUGCCCCGAGCACGAUGGUGUGCUCGGACGGCCUUGGCAUCGAUGGAAACGACGACGGCGUCGAGCGGGGCGGAUGUCGGACUUCGGUCAUCGUUGGGAUCGGGGCUGGGGUGCGUUUGCGGGCAAACCAAGCGGCUAGACGAGGCCUACGCGGUGCGGUGAGCGCGCUGGGCACUGGCCCGUGACCAUUUGGUCACCGGAGUCUUGCCGGCGUCGAGAUCCGCGACGGAGAGUUCGGGCAUCUCCAAUGCGACCACUACGGUGACGGAAACACGCGGGGAGAGAGGGAGAAGGACGACGACUGCUCACCGGGCCCUGUAGUUGUGCUCAAAUGGGCUCGGGGAGGCAUGUCGUCACCGGAAUCAUCGCCGGAGUUGAAGAUGGCCGUAGGGGAAGAAGAGGUCGUCGGGCUCGUCUCGGUGGCUUCCGGCUCCAAUGGCUUGGAUAGGACGACGCAGAGGACGACGGCGGAGCGCUACGUCAUCGGGGCGAGGCGAGAGGUUGACAGGGAGCGUGGGAUCGACGGCGCGCGGCAGCGGCUCCCUCGGUGAGGGAGGAGAAGGGUGAGGGGGAGCGAGGAGGAAUCUGGUGGGAGAGUGGCAAGUGGGCGAGUGGGAGGCGAGGAGGCCGAGGCGUCGGGGAGGCGCAAGCCUUAUCCCCUCGCCCGGGCGUCGCCGGUGAGGCGGGUCCGGCGGGGACGGCGCCCCUGUAGCGGCGCGCACCAGUCGGCCCAGUUGAGGGGGGGGGCUUUUCCUUUUUCUUUGUUUUUUUUAAUUCCCAGCAGCAAUUUGCCUUUUCCUUUUAGCCAUUAGGACUUUGCAAAAUUAUGUCAUUGGGCAAGAUAAUUUCAAGGAAUUAUUGUGCACUGCCACAAAAAGGUUGGGAGGCUUUUGGAAUAGUUGCCAAUUUUAUAAAUUAAAAAGGCAUUUAAUUUAUUGCUUAGGUCACUGUUUUAAGUAGUUUAGGCCACUCAAACCUUUUACAAAAAUGUUGGUUCACCACCAAUAUUAACAAAUGAUUAUUUGCCACCUGAUGAACAUUUAGUUUUCAUGAAAGAAGAAGCAAAUAUUUGACAUGCAAUUUGAAUUUGACUUUGAAGCAGAUUUUGGACAAGUGGCCUUUUGGCAUGAUGAUCAUGAUGACAUGACCUUCAUUAGGGGGAGAUUACUGUAGUGUGAUGCUGGGGAUGUUACAGUGGCUUGGCUGCAAAUCCGAUUCGCCCAAGUCUGUAAACAAAUCCUAACCGAGUGGUGAGCCAGUCUCCCACACGAAGGCUUAGCUGCGAAAUCCGUUUCGCCUAAGAUAAACAAAAUCCUACCGAGUGAUAAGCCAGUCUUCCACUCGGAGGCUUAGCCGCAGUCCAAGUACUCGCCUAAGAUAAACAAAAUCCUGUCGAGUGGUAAGUCAGCCUUCCACUCGGAGGCUUAGCUGCAGUCCAAGUACUCGCCUAAGAUAAACAAAAUCCUGUCGAGUGGUAAGUCAGCCUUCCACUCGGAGGCUUAGCUGCAGUCCAAGUACUCGCCUAAGAUAAACAAAAUCCUGUCGAGUGGUAAGCCAGCCUUCCACUCGAAGGCUUAGCUGCAGUCCAAGUACUCGCCUAAGAUAAACAAAAUCCUACCGAGUGGUAAGCCAGCCUUCCACUCGGAGGCUUAGCUGCAGCAUUGCGCUCGCCUAAGUACAAAUACAACAUGCGCUCUGCAAGGAGGACGAGGUGCAGGUCGACUGCUACCCUCUCCUUUCGAGCUACGCCACAAGUACAACGUGCGCUCUGCAAGGAGUACGAGGUGCAGAUCGACUGCUACCCUCUCCUUCCGAGCUACACCACAAGUACAACGUGCGCUCUGUAAGGAGGACGAGGUGCAGGUCGACUGCUACCCUCUCCUUCCGAGCUACGCCACAAAUACNNNNNNNNNNNNNNNNNNNNNNNNNNNNNNNNNNNNNNNNNNNNNNNNNNNNNNNNNNNNNNNNNNNNNNNNNNNNNNNNNNNNNNNNNNNNNNNNNNNNNNNNNNNNNNNNNNNNNNNNNNNNNNNNNNNNNNNNNNNNNNNNNNNNNNNNNNNNNNNNNNNNNNNNNNNNNNNNNNNNNNNNNNNNNNNNNNNNNNNNNNNNNNNNNNNNNNNNNNNNNNNNNNNNNNNNNNNNNNNNNNNNNNNNNNNNNNNNNNNNNNNNNNNNNNNNNNNNNNNNNNNNNNNNNNNNNNNNNNNNNNNNNNNNNNNNNNNNNNNNNNNNNNNNNNNNNNNNNNNNNNNNNNNNNNNNNNNNNNNNNNNNNNNNNNNNNNNNNNNNNNNNNNNNNNNNNNNNNNNNNNNNNNNNNNNNNNNNNNNNNNNNNNNNNNNNNNNNNNNNNNNNNNNNNNNNNNNNNNNNNNNNNNNNNNNNNNNNNNNNNNNNNNNNNNNNNNNNNNNNNNNNNNNNNNNNNNNNNNNNNNNNNNNNNNNNNNNNNNNNNNNNNNNNNNNNNNUAUCUGAAAUCCUAUUGAGUGGAGAGCAGACCUCCCACUCGGAGGCUUAGCUGCAGCCCAGUGCCGGCUUAAGUAUCUGAAAUCCUACCAAGUGGAGAGCAGACCUCCCACUCGGGGGCUUAGCUGCAGCCCAGUGCUCGCCUAAGUUUUUGAAAAUCCUACCGAGUGGAGAGCAAACCUCUCACUCGGGGGCUUAGCUGCAGCCCAGUGCUCGCCUAAGUUUUUGAAAAUCCUACCGAGUGGAGAGCAAACCUCUCACUCGGGGGCUUAGCUGCAGCCCAGUGCUCGCCUAAGGGUAUUGGGGAACAAGUCGAUUGCAAUGAACGCUUCGCUUUAACCUGCAAAAGACACCUCAAACCAAAUGCAAACAUAUUCAACGUUGAAUCCAAGUUCGGAUAACACCUAACGGAACCGAAAGUGCUCAGGUGCUAGGCCUGUUAAGGUUUGUCGGUUACAAAAUUCACUCGGCAUACCGAGGCAAAUUUAAAGUAUCAAACUCAGAAGUUCUUUUACCCCUCCUGUGGAGGGCUGGAAGGUGCGACAAACUCGUCCAGGUCGAUUCCAUCUGCAAUUCGAGUGGCGCCGGCGAUGAAGGUCUCCAUGAAGGAUCAAAAAUCGUGCUUCUUGGUGUUAGCCACCCUAAGGGCCACCAGCUUGUCCUCUCGCGCAUCCUUGCCAUGAACACGGACCAGAGACAGAGCAACAUCCGCACCACACCUGGCCGAGGACUUCUUCCACUCUUGCACUCGACUUGGGACCUCGUUCAGUCAAGUCAUCAGAGACUCGAGGUCGUUCUGGAGUGUCUCUCUUGGCCAGAGUGUUGUGUCAAUGCGAGAAGUUGCGACUUUAGGCCUUGCGAGAUAGUCGAUGACAGCAGCAACACGAGAUUCAAGCCGGAGCACGUUCAUGGCGACUUCAUCUUUCACGGGAGAGUUGAUGGGGUCCAGGUUUACUUACAGUCGACCAGUCUCCUCUUCAAAGUUCUGGCAAAAUUCUGCAAGCACAACCACCGAGUCAAGACAACAGUCGGAGAUUGCAGUUAAAAUAUUUGUUUGAUACAAAAGAUUACCUUCAAGCAUGAGGAACAACUUCUUGGCGAGUCCACCCAGAUAAGCCUCCAGAUCGUUCUUCUUUCUCACCAACUCACUGGCCUUGUCAUUCAGGGUGGUCUUGUCACUUUUCAGUCGACUGACCUCCUGGUUGGCAGCAUCAAGAGCAGCUUUCAGAUUGGUGUUUUCUUCUUCAAGCUUGGUCACUGAAGCUAGCUUCUCAUCUGCAAGCUUGGUCUUCUCUAAAGCAGUUUUUUACAUCUCAGCCAAGUCAAGUUCUUGCUUCCUCCUUUGCCUUCGUCAAGUUCUCUUGGGCCAGUUUCAGAUCGAGCUCGAGCUGAAUGUGUUUGUUCUCCAACUCAGUAUAACGAGCCGCAAGGUCACAGGAUUUCUACGAAGAACCAAUCGACAGAUGUCAAAGACAAUUCACUUCCGAGUGAGUAAGGAAAAAUCAUAGCGUUUCUAAGACUACGGCCGAAUACAAAUAUUCGACCAUAGUCUCGGGGACUACACCCAGUGGGUGCACUCAGCGUGCCCCCACUAGAGUCGACCAGUCGACCAACAAAAAAACGGAGAUGUUCUUCAGACUAUAGUCGACUGCCAGCAGUCGACCACAGUCUCGGGGACUACACCCAGUGGGUGCACUCAGCGUGCCCCCACCGGUCUAUGAAUCUAUUCGACCUAGUCGAGUAAGGAAAAAACUUAAGACAUAAAGCCUAUGGUCGACUGCCAGCAGUCGACCAUAGCCUUGAGGACUACACCCAGUGGAUGCACUCAGCGUGCCCCCACUAAUCCGGAAUUUCAAUCGACAGACCCAGUGGGUGUAGGACAAACUCUAAGAAUUUCAGAAGGAAGAAUUUUCAGAUAUCAUAUCCUAACAGAACAGGCAGUGACCGACUGACCUGAACAUUACUCUGAAGAGCCGAACUGGCGUCAUAGGCUGCCUGGCUGGCUUCUCGUAUUGCCUUCACUUGCUCCAUCAUGACCCCCGCUUGGCGUAUUGCUUCCUUAGCAGCACUAGCUUGGUCUUCUGGAACGGGGUAGGUUGAGAAAAGCGAGGGUUGAGCAGCACUCGACGACGAAGGGCGAGCACUCGUCAACGGCACCGCAAAGGUUACGGUAGGCCGAGUGACAUUGUCUCCCUCCACGACCAACAUCUCGGGUGCUGGCACAUCCUGAGUCGCCUUGCCAGCAGAUGCUUUCUUGCUCCUCCUCUGCCUUGGUGGUUCCUCAUCGUCGUCGUCGGGAAGGUCAAUAACAAUGUUAGAUGAAGCUGCAGAAAGAAUCAAAAUUAGAGACAAUAAGUCAGUCGACUGAAAACGGCAUCACAAGAGUCAUACCAGGUUUUGAGGUAGCAGCAUCCUCCAUCUCGUGGUCUUCAGCCCUGGCCGAAGUAUCAGAAGUAGCAGCACUGCAGUUCCAGAAGUCAGUCGAUUGGCCCAUGAGUCGACCAAGAACAAGUUCAUGAAAUGGGGAAAACUCAAGACUACCAUUACCCUGAGAUAGUGGGGAUCACCAUCUUCAUCUUCGGCAAGACCUUCGCAGGUUUCGACGGUGCCACUCGAGAUUGCUUCGGAGCCUUCUCAGUCGGCGCCGGAGAAGUAGUCCGAGGGCGCUUGGUCGACUGUGUACCGGUUGCGACCCCCUUACCACGCUCAGUCGCGGGAUCAUGGACAAGUUUCGAGCGUCUUUCCGAGCGGGGAGGUGCAACUUCCUCCUCCUCCUCCUCCUCUUCCUCCUCAUCAGAGUCAUCACCCUCAUCAUCGUCGUCAGCAUCCGAAUCCCACUCCUCUGGGCUUUCGCCCCCACUUCCUUCCUCCUCUUCAGUCGGCGUCUGCGCUCCAUUGGGCAUCGAGUAUAACUCGGUGGUGGCCUAUCAGACAACAAAACAAAACAAAGAUCAAUCGACCAAUUCGCAGCAAAGCAGAAUGAAUACAACAAGAUUACAAUUGGAGAUAAGUGGUCAUACCGUGUCCGGUGUAUAGGUACAGUCGAGUGGUGGGAUCCUCCUAGCCCCUCGAGGGUUGUCCUUAUUCCCUGUGAUGGCUGCCACCCACCUCUCCAGUGUGGCGUCGCUGACCGCUUCUGGAUGGACCCGAGUGGUGUCUUCGGUACCACAGUACAGCCACAUCGGGUGGCCUCGGUACUGAAGCGGUUGGACGCGUUGUCUAAGGAAGACCUCCAGAAGAUCCAUACCCGUCACCCCGUCCCUAACAAGUUGGACUACGCGCUCCAUCAACAAUUUCACCUGAGCUUUCUCCUCAGGAAGCACCCUCAGAGAAGAGGGUUUGUCCACUCGGUUCAUGGAGAACAGAGGGAGACCAGUCGACUGCCCCGACGUCGACUCGUCUUGGCAGUAGAACCAAGUCGACUGCCACCCUCUGACCGACUCGACUCGGGAAGGGUCAUGGCCGGGAAAGUACUCUUAUUCCUCAUUUGAAUCCCAAGACCACCGCACAUCUGGAUAACCUUAGUCCUCUCAUCUUCCGGACUCGCCUUUUUCACUGUCUGUGAGCGACAGGUGAAUAUGUGCUUAAAGAGACCCCAAUGUGGUCGACAACCCAGGAUGUUCUCGCACAUGGACACAAAGGCAGCAAGAUAGGUGAUAGAAUUGGGGGGUGAAAUGGUGAAGUUGCGCCCCAAAGAAAUUCAGAAACCCACGGAAGAAAACACUCGGCGGCAGAGAAAAACCACGGUCAACAUGAGUGGCUAGGAGAACGCACUCACCGUCCUGCGGCUGCGGUUGACACUCGGUCCCCGGGAGCCUUGCUGACCCAUGGGGGAUCAGUCCCUCAUUGUCCAGGUCGUUGAGAUCCGUCUCGGUGAUGGUCGAGCGGAUCCAAUCCCCUUGGACCCAACCUUUUGGCAGGCGGGACCUUGACGAAGAUCCGCCCCGACUGGACGGCCUCCCCUUCGCUUUCCCCGUCGCCAUCGCCUUCUUCGCGCGCUCUAAGGCCGCCGUCUUCUCCUUCACCAUUGUCGCCGGUGAAACACGCGAGGAGUGGAUAGGCGGAGGCGAGAGCAGGCGCAGCGGGCGGAGGCAAAGAGGGCGGAGAGAAGAAUGGGAAGGCACUGUUCAAAAAACCCUCGCCCGGCGCUUUAUAUAAGGGCACUUCCGAGUGGCUGACGAGUGGGUCCGGGCGGUCCUGUCACAUCCCGAAACAGUCGCGCACGCACGAUACGUGGCGAAAAAGGCGGCGCAGAAAUCGAGGCGUCCACGCCUUAUCCCUUCCAAGUACCGCGGUCCACCCCGUUUCGCGCGCUUCCCAAAAUUCGGAUCCCGUAAAAUCCGCUAACGGCAGAUCAAUCUGUCAGACGAUAUCUUUCCUACGAUCCGUCGCUCGGGAGUUCACUGAAGUUCAAAAGUUCACUCGACGGAAGACAAGAAUGGAUCAAGGCGACUGAAGUAAAAGUUGAAGCCAACGCAGAAAGAGAAAUCACCGAUCCAGGAUACGACAUAAUCAAAGCACGGGAGAUAGGUCGGAGAAAAUCAUCAACUCCUUCCUCACUCGAACCUCGAUCCAUUCGGGGGCUAAUGAUGAUGUUAUGUACCUAGGGUAGGGUCAUGGACCUAUCUAGGAUACCAUACACAAGGACAUCCUUAGACGAAGCUACCUUCCAGUCGACCAAGAGGGACUCCACUCGACCGGCUAGAAGACACUCGACCAUGAAGACUCACUCGACCACCAGGAGUUUAGGAUCUACUCUGUAUCCAAACGGUCUGUAAUUAAGUAGUCUUAAUGGUCAUGAUGACACUUUAUGUAUGGCGUUACCAGUAACGCCCAGCCUUAAUGUACUUUAACCCUCUGCUACGUGGGUUGGCUGGGGUCCUGGCGUCCUCUAUCUAAGCCACCCCCUCCACUGGUAGAAGGGUUCGCACCCCUGUAACUCAUAUACACAUAAACCAGUCGACCGCCUCCAGGCUCCGAGACGUAGGGAUAUUACUUCCUCAGAGAAGGGCCUGAACUCGUUAAACACUCGUGUGUACAACUACUCCAUAGCUAGGAUCUUGCCUCUCCAUACCUACCCCCCAUCCUACUGUCAGACUUAGAACCACGACAGGAGGUCCUUCGAAAUGCUUACCUGUUGAACUAUAUCAGACAUAACUUUUUGGUUUUAAGUGUAUUUGUCUAGCUGAUACUUACUCCGUGACCUUAAUUAUAUUAUUAUUUUUGGCUAGACACAGCUCAAGAAGUUUGUUUUACUGAGAGUGCUCGUCAGGGUUCCCAUCCAAGAAAGAGACCAAUGACAGAACAGAUGGAGGACUGUCUAGCUACAAAGAAGCAACUGACAGCUGGGGAUAAUGGUGAAGCAAGUACGCUAAUAUGCAUGUUUUUGCUCCUUAUAUAAUUUUAUUAGCAUAUUACAACAGCUAGUACUAUGACAUUAUCAUUAGAUGCGUCAAUAUGCUAAUAACUGUAGCAUGAAAUGCACUGUUGCUUUGUAUAAAUCUUGAUGGGUUAUGUAGGCCCAUUCCUAUUUACAUCAAUAAGACAAUUGCAGAUUGUUGUGUCCACUUUACUUGAUAAGAUGCUUGAGAUUUCUAGUAGUUUAGUAUGAACAAAAUGUUGACUACCACUCUUUAUUUUCUCUAAUAGCAAUUGUGGUUUCCAACAUCGCCUAAAAAUGCUAUUAGCAUGAUGGAUUAUUUUCAAGCUUGGUUCGAAAUAUUUUGAUGAAACACCGUAGGUUUUUUUGUCUUCAUCCUUGCAGUUGUCAAGCCGUAGGCAUGGAGUUGCCAAAGUAGCUUAAUACUGUACAAAAUAUUUCUGUAAGUCUGUUUGAAUUAACGGGUGAAUGUUUGGCUGAUUGCAGGUGUCAAAGCUCAGUCGUCCUCGACAGUCUGAUAGUGUGCUUUUGACCGGACAAAGCGAUGCUGUUGGAACACGAUGUUGUUUUGAUCCAUUUCUUGCUUUGGUUCUGUAGUUACCUGCUUCAUCCAGGCUUGGAAGCCUCCUACAACAUUUGAGUUCAUGCAAUUUAUGCCACUCUGUUAGUAUUACUGAUUCGAGAUACAGUACAAAGUAAUCCCGGUGAGAACUUAUGCAAUCAUGCCACAGAUUAGCCUUGAUCCAUUCUCAUUGCCCGUCAGAUAAUCGACAUUGUGUACUUUUCCCCAUCGAGGAAUGAGUAGGCUAUCUUUUUGAUAAAAGGCGCAAGAGGUGCCUGGCUUUAUAAAUUAAUAAAGCGACCAAGGCUAACAUCGUCU